GGGAUGGAGAUAUGUUGGAUGUCAAACAACAGUCAGAUGGUAGAGCAGGAAUCUCUAUCUCAAACUUUCAGCUUCAGAAAUCCGCAGUUCCGCUCAAGUCAGAAAGAGAAAGACAGGAAUCUGGAAGGUCAUUGUACCUGUUUUCAUUUUGGUGGCAACUCUGAUGGGCGUGUUAGGAUACAUUUAUCUGUUCAGGAGGAAUAAGACUAGUAGGAAUGGAAAACCGAAACAACUCCAAAGGGUGUUGCCUGAUUUUUAGAAAACCAAGGAUAUCUACAACGAUGUAACUCUGGAUACAAACUUGUUUAACAAUGGUAAAACGGAAGA